AGCAGUAGCCGCGGGAAUACGUAGGUCCCGAGCGUUGUCCGGAUUUAUUGGGCGUAAAGCGAGCGCAGGCGGUUAGAUAAGUCUGAAGUUAAAGGCUGUGGCUUAACCAUAGUACGCUUUGGAAACUGUUUAACUUGAGUGCAAGAGGGGAGAGUGGAAUUCCAUGUGUAGCGGUGAAAUGCGUAGAUAUAUGGAGGAACACCGGUGGCGAAAGCGGCUCUCUGGCCUGUGACUGACACUGAGGCGCGAAAGCGUGGGGAGCAAACAGGAUUAGAUACCCCAGUAGUCCCUGUCUCUUAUACA
rnacentral:rRNA from 1 species